rnacentral:rRNA from 1 species
GCAUAUCUAUAAGCGCAGGAAAAGAAACCAACAGGGAUUGCCUCAGUUAACGGCGAAGUGAAGCGGCAACAGCUUCAAAUUUGAAAUCUGGCCUCUUGGGGUCCGAGUUGUAAUUUGUAGAGGAUGUUUCGGGUACCGCCUCGGUUUAAAUUUCUUGGAACAGAAUGUCAAAGAGGGUGAGAAUCCCGUCUUGGACCGGCGGUAGGGCCUAUGUGAAACUCCUUCGACGAGUCGAGUUGUUUGGGAAUGCAGCUCAAAAUGGGUGGUAAAUUUCAUCUAAAGCUAAAUAUUGGCCAGAGACCGAUAGCGCACAAGUAGAGUGAUCGAAAGAUGAAAAGCACUUUGAAAAGAGAGUUAAACAGUAUGUGAAAUUGUUGAAAGGGAAGCGCUUGCAACCAGACUUGAGCGCGGCGGUUCCCCCUUGCUUCUGCUUGGGUUACUCCGCCGUGUCCAGGCCAACAUCGGUUCUGGGGGUCGGUCAAAGGCUCUGGGAAUGUAUCUACCCACGGGUAGACUUAUAGACCAGGGUGUCAUGCGACCUCCCGGGACCGAGGAACGCGCUUCGGCUCGGAUGUUGGCGUAAUGGUUGUCAGCGACCCGUCUUGAAACACGGACCAAGGAGUCUAACAUCUAUGCGAGUGUUUGGGUGUCAAACCCGGAACGCGGAAUGAAAGUGAACGGAGGUAGGAAGCUUCGGCUGCACUAUCGACCGAUCCUGAAGUUUACGGAUGGAUUUGAGUAAGAGCAUAGCUGUUGGGACCCGAAAGAUGGUGAACUAUGCCUGAAUAGGGUGAAGCCAGAGGAAACUCUGGUGGAGGCUCGCAGCGGUUCUGACGUGCAAAUCGAUCGUCAAAUUUGGGUAUAGGGGGCGAAAGACUAAUCGAACCAUCUGGUAGCUGGUUCCUGCCGA